rnacentral:rRNA from 1 species
GUUGAACGCUGGCGGCAUGCCUUACACAUGCAAGUCGAACGGCAGCGGGGACUUCGGUCCGCCGGCGAGUGGCGAACGGGUGAGUAACGUAUCGGAACGUACCUUUCAGUGGGGGAUAACGUAGCGAAAGUUACGCUAAUACCGCAUAUUCUGUGAGCAGGAAAGCAGGGGAUCGCAAGACCUUGCGCUGAUUGAGCGGCCGAUAUCAGAUUAGCUAGUUGGUGAGGUAAAGGCUCACCAAGGCGACGAUCUGUAGCGGGUCUGAGAGGAUGAUCGGCCACACUGGAACUGAGACACGUUCCAGACUCCUACGGGAGGCAGCAGUGGGGAAUUUUGGACAAUGGGGGCAACCCUGAUCCAGCCAUGCCGCGUGAGUGAAGAAGGCCUUCGGGUUGUAAAGCUCUUUCGGCCGGGAAGAAAUCGUAUGGGUUAAUACCCUGUGCGGAUGACGGUACCGGCAUAAGAAGCACCGGCUAACUACGUGCCAGCCGCCGCAGUAAAAC